UUGGCUCCACCCCCUCCCUGCCCAUAUUUAAGGGCUGGGAACAGACAGGGCAGCAUUCUGCUUGGGAGCUGCCUCCUUGGGAGCAUUGGGAGCGAGUUCUGCCCUUUGGAAUGGGGUCCAUCAGCAGAAGGAGCAGCAACUGCACCUGGAGACUGCUUCCUUUAGAGUGUGGGGUGAACCCUUGAAACUGGGGCUGUGGCCUUUCCUGUUUUUGGGGCAUCCUGACCACACUGAAGUGCUGGCAGAUGUAAGGGCAGCAUUGAUCUCUGGAGACUGUCUCCUGUGGAGCAGGGGGCUGUUAUGCACUGCUUCCAACCAUGCAGAGUUGUUUAAGGGCAUUCUGUGCACCCUUAGGUGUAAUAAAUCUUUAUAGAAAGCCAAGGAUUGUCCUCUUCUGGACUGCUGUAUUCAGCAUCACCCCAGCAUGAUGCAGUGAAGCCCCUGGUCUGCUGAAUACUGGGACUGGCCCAGAGAGGCUCUGUGACGGAUGUGGAUUAUCCCAGCUGGAGUACCUGGUACUAUUGGUGGUGAUCUCGUCCAACUGCCACACAACAAACAGGAACAUCCACAGCCAGAUCAGGCUGCCCAGAGGCUGACUCAGCCUCACCUUGGAAGGGACA